rnacentral:lncRNA from 1 species
GUAGCAGUGCCAUCUCCAUGAAUAUCAUUGAGAUUACUUCCAACGUCAAUGCAGACCGAUGCAUUGCCAACAAAUGGAAACUUAGCUUGAGAGGACGAGCUGGCAUAACCAGCCGAAGGAGAGGUUCCGAGGCCUGUCUCUCCCACUUUCAUCCAUUGAUUUGUCGUUCGAUGUGCUUGCGAAAGCGGGUCCAUAGUAACAGUGCCAUCUCCAUGAACCAUGUCAACGCGAUUCGUAAUUGACCCACCAUCAAGUGCAAACCAAGCUUGAGAGGACGUGGCACUCGAAGAGUACUCUGCUGGAGAUUUAUUGAGUUGAUUUGAGUUGGCAUAACCAGCCGAAGCAGAGGUUCCCAGGACUGUCUCUCCCACUUUCAUCCCUUGAUCCAUCGUUCGACGUGCUUGCGAAAGUGGAUUCAUAGUAGCAGUGCCAUCUCCAUGAACCAUGUCAACGCACACCGUCGGAUUCGUAAUCGCCCCGCCAUCAAAUGCAAACCAAGCUUGAGAGGACGUGUCACUCGAAGAGUACUCUGCUGGAGAAUUAUUGAGUCGAUUUGAGUUUGCAUAACCAGCCGAAGGAGAGGUUCCGAGGGCUGUCUCUCCCACUUUCAUCCAUUGAUCCGUGGAUCGAUGUGCUUGCGGAAACGGAUCCAGACUAGAAGUGCGAUCGAGUUCAGACCAAGCUGGAUAAGACGUGUCACUCGAAGAGUACUCUGCUGGAGAAUUAUU